AUGUGUUUUUGUUUCAACUUCAAAAUAUUUUAUUUUGAUUUGAGGAGUGAAUAAAAUCCUCGGAUUUUUGCAGAUCUCUUUUUCUUUUUCUUAUCUUCCUCAUAAACUCCCUUCGGAAAAUCUCAGAGAUCCGGUCUCAACUCUCACAAAUCAAAGACUAAUCCUAACCCCAUCUCAAAGUAUCAGAUUUAAAAGAAAACCCCUCUUUAUAACCCUGGAUUUAACCAAAAAAAAACCCUCAUCUCAUUUCAGCGCACUUGUUUUCUGUAUGAGAAGGAGAUUUAUAGCCUUCAUAUCCAUACAACUCUCAUCACCGAGUCAAACCUGCCUGAUUUCAGAACCUAAUCCCAACCGCAUCUUUGAUUUAAAACCCAUCUCGUAAUCAAAAUUUUAUAUCCCCUAAUUUUGUAACCCUAUGUUUAGAAAUCAAACAUAAUCUUCAAUAAUCCAAUUUUUUAAAACCCUACAUAUCAGAAAUCAAGGGUUUUAUCUCAACAAAACCCCCAUGUAUUUCUUUCCCUACUCGAUCUGUUUGUGGAGUUGCUGAGGAUGAUUGGUGGAAUUGUCGAUAAAGUCAGUGUGGAAGUCGUCGAUGUUACUGGUGGUGGUGCUCUGUUUUUAUUGGAGUUGAUGGCGGAUGUGUUAAUGAUAGAGGUGAACUCCGGUGUUAGUGAUAGAGGUGAAAUCUGUUGAUUUGGUGGUGACGAUGAGCAUAUUUGGUGGUGCUGAAAGUAAUGAUGGGAAGAUUCUCACAUUGGGAAAAAUAGAGAUACAUUCUGUGUCAAAGCCAGUGGAAGUGCCUGUAAUGAUAGACUGAUUCUGCUGAAUCUUCCAACAACACUCAGUCUAAUAAGGAGAAAGAAAUAGAUUGGGGAUCUGUUUUUAAUACAAUGCGGGAACUUGCAAUUGAUGAUACUUCUACUUUGAAGGAUAAUGUUAUUAUCAUCAGUGUGGUUGGAAUGACAUGUAUUUAUUACUUUAUCUAAUUGUUAAGGUAUUGAGAAGGCUUAAAGAGCGAGAAGUUGACUUAGAUCAACUCCCACUGUUUGUAUCCUGAUCCACUCUGCUGCAACCGUCUUAGAAGAACAAUAACUUAGUGAAAUAUGAUCAGAAAAGUGGGUUUUUCCAGAGCGCUGGACGUCUUAUUCUAGCAGUUUUCGAGAUUGCAUUGUAAAGAGGAUGGGCGCAAGUAGGUGAAAAAUCUUUGAACUUGUGCAAGUUGGUUGGUAAGAAGAUAUAGAAUUUAUCACUUCCAUGGUAUUCGGUUGUACUAAGCAUCCUUGUUGCAUUGCCAGUGAAGUCAAUAUUACGGUUCAGAUAUGUAUCGAAAGCCUGGUGCAAUUUACUGGAAGAAUCUAAGUUUGUGAAAUAACACCUUAACCAUGCAAUUUGAAAGGACCAUAUUCAGUGUGAUGGUGUCAGAAUCUCAGAUUUCAUCACACAUCAGAGUCAUGCUUCCAAAGAUCCACGUACGCGUUCAUACUUCAGUACUGCUGGAAGUGUGACUUUUAUCACUCAAUCAAAAAUCCGGGACUGUAGUCUCUCUGUCCAUCUAAGAGACAUGAUUUUUUUUGUCCACCAGUCUGUUUAGGAUUUCUUAGAGUACUUGAAAUAAAACUAAGUUUUUUUCUCUGCAGUACUUCAAUCAGAUCUUAACUGUUGUACUUGAGGUGCUUGGCGAUUCUGUUUCCUCAAUUAGGGAACUUCCUCUUUCUGUGAUGGUUCAAACUUCAAAUGCUUAAUUAUCAGGUUUCAAGUGAAGCAAAGGAGUGUUUGACAUUAGUUUUGUCUCAGUAUGAUCCAUUCAUAUGCCUAACUGUUACUAUGCCAUUAUUAGUCAGUGAAGAUGAGAAGACUCUCAUUACUUGCAUUAACUGUCUGACCAAGGCUGGAAGAUCACACUUCUACAGUUAGAGCCUUAGCUUAGUGCCCAUUCCAGGCUUACUUGCUUGCUUCUGGUGGAGGUGCAGCUGAUGGAUGGUAGUUAACCUUUUUAAGUUAACUUGAAUAUAUCCUUAACGAGUUUCGAAACCCAAAUCUAGGCGCUAUAAAUUCUGUAAGUUCUGUUGCUUAUUGGAAAGAGUUGUCUAUUUUAAGUUUUGUAAAAUACAAUUUCAUAACCAAUUGUAUGCACAUACCAAUCAAAAACUCUGAACUGCCAGGAGUUGAAUCAUGAGGGCAUUGGUAGUGCUGGUGUCAAAAAGAUUGUUCAGUAUAGAGCUUAUUAACAAUUGAAGCUGACUGAUUUAUAUUAACUGAUGUUUGAUCUUUCAAAUUCAGAAACUUGGGUUCUUGAGCUAAGUGAUGUAAUAUGAAAUUUAGUGGUAUUAUGUAGAUUGUUGUUUCUUUUUUAAA